AGCAGCAGCAGCAGCAGCAGCCGCAGGACCAGCCCUGGGCCGGGGGAUGAUUUUACAUGACGUGCAACGAGCUGGUCUCUAGCGGGACUCAGCGGGAGAAUGAACACGGAGGAGCUGGAGUUACUGAGUGACUCCAAGUACAGGAACUACGUAGCCGCGGUCGACAAGGCACUGAAGAAUUUCGAGUACUCCAGCGAAUGGGCGGAUUUGAUUUCAGCACUUGGGAAACUCAACAAGGUCUUGCAAAACAAUGCAAAGUACCAAGUAGUACCAAAAAAGCUGACCAUAGGUAAGCGUCUAGCACAAUGCCUGCAUCCAGCAUUGCCGGGAGGAGUUCACCGGAAGGCGCUUGAAACGUAUGAGAUCAUCUUCAAAAUCAUCGGUCCGAAGCGUCUGGCAAAGGAUCUUUUUCUAUACAGUUCUGGGCUUUUCCCUCUUCUUGCCAAUGCCGCCAUGUCCGUUAAACCAACCCUUCUUAGUCUGUAUGAGAUUUAUUAUUUGCCUCUGGGAAAAACAUUAAAGCCUGGUCUGCAAGGGUUGUUAACAGGAAUUCUUCCUGGUUUGGAGGAGGGCUCAGAGUACUAUGAGAGAACGAACACUCUGUUGGAGAAGGUCGCUACAGCAGUCGAUCAGUCAGCCUUCUAUAGUGCCCUGUGGGGUAGUCUUCUCACCAGCCCCGCUGUCCGCUUACCUGGAAUCACCUACGUUCUGUCUCAUCUGAACCGAAAGCUUUCCAUGGAAGACCAGCUUUAUAUCAUCGGCAGCGAUAUCGAAUUAAUGGUAGAAGCAGUGAGAACCUCAGUGCUGGAUUCAAGUGUCCUGGUACAGAGAAGCACACUGGACCUCAUACUCUUCUGUUUCCCUUUCCAUAUGAGUCAGGCUACUCGGCCAGACAUGAUCAGGAUCCUGUCAGCGGCGCUUCACGUGGUACUGAGGCGAGAUAUGUCACUGAACCGAAGGCUCUAUGCCUGGCUUCUUGGCUUUGAUAACAAUGGGGCUAUAAUAGGACCCAGAAGCACGAGACACAGUAAUCCCGAGGAACACGCCUCGUACUACUUUGCCACCUUUUCUAAAGAAAUGUUGGUCCAGGCAAUGGUGGGGAUCCUUCAAGUGAAUGGAUUUGGAGAAGAAAGCACAUUAAUGCAGGACCUCAAGCCUUUUCGCAUUUUAAUCAGUUUACUGGACAAACCUGAGUUAGGACCUGUAAUCUUAGAGGAUGUAUUGAUUGAAGUAUUUAGAACAUUGUACACACAGUGCAAAGCAGAAUUGGAUCUCCAGGUGGAACCCCCCUUCAGCAAAGAUCACGCCCAGCUUAGCAGCAAAUUGAGGGAAAAUAAGAAAACAGCAGAGCUGAUUAAAACUGCCAAUCUUCUCUUCAAUUCCUUUGAGCCUUAUUAUAUGUGGGAUUACAUUGCCCGUUGGUUUGAAGAAUGUUGUAGGAGGACACUACAUGCCAGACUUCAAAAUGGCCUUGGAGAUGGUAGUGAACCAUCUGAGUUACCACUGACCAAUUUCUGCCUACUGGUGGAUUUUUUGUUGGAUAUUGUCUCCUUGCCUACUAGAAGUAUGAGGGUGCUGUGUCAGGAGACUUAUAUCGAAAUACAAACAGAACACUUGCCCCAGUUGCUGCUACGAAUGAUUUCUGCACUGACAAGCCACCUGCAGACUUUGCACUUGUCUGAACUAACAGAUUCUCUCAGGCUCUGUUCGAAGAUACUGAGCAAGGUUCAACCCCCACUCCUCUCUGCAGGGCCUGAUGGUAUAGCGCACUUUCCAAGAGGUCAGACCAGUUCUCUCAAGGAAUGGGAAGACAAAAAGGCUCCCCCCGUUUCUCCCGAAAAUCCCAACGAUGUGUUCGAAGAUGGCGACAAUCCCCCAAGCAGUCGAUCGUCCGAGAGCGGAUUCACCGAAUUCGUACAGUACCAGGCCGAUAAGGCGGACGACAUCGACAGGGUAGUGAAUGAAAACCAAGGACCAUCUGGGGUUCCGGUGGGUAGUACGUCUUCGGAGGCCGAAACCGCCUCCACUGGGGGAUCGGAAGAAACCAUCAUCCGGCUCCCUUCCUCCGUUACACAAGGGACAGCGACACAGAGUGGGAAGACAGGCCAAAAGACUGCAAUGCAGUACUGCUUGGCAUACUUCCAACAGUUUUUAACCAGACUUAUCAACCUCUACAUCAUCCAGUGUAACUCCUCGCCUCAGCCUUUGGCAACAGAGCUUUCCGGGGAGCUCCCCCGAGAACACAAGGAAACUACAAAAUGGGACAUCAACUCCCAAGGAGACGUUAAAGGGCGAACCCCGAAUAAACCCCCAACUCCGAAAGAAUAUCUUUCUGCCUUCAUUGCUGCUUGCCAGCUCUUCCUCGAAUGUUCCAGUUUUCCUGUCUACAUUGCAGAGGGAAACCACUCUUCAGAGUUACAGCCAGAGAAGACAGAUAUUGAGUGUGAACAGGUGCAACCCCCCCUGUGGCUCCAGACACUAAUGAACGCUUGCAGUCAAGCCAGUGACUUCAGUGUUCAGAGCGUGGCGAUAUCGUUGGUCAUGGACUUGGUGGGAUUGACUCAAUCUGUUGCUGUGGUCACUGGGGAAAAUGUAAACAGCCUAGAGCCUGCACAGCCUCUAAGUCCAAACCAGGGAAGGGUGGCUGUGGUUAUAAGGCCACCCCUUACUCAAGGUAACCUGAGGUACACAGCUGAAAAGACAGAAUUUUUCAAGCAUGUAGCUUUAACCUUAUGGGAGCAGCUGGGAGAGAGAACACCCCAGCAUCACCAGAAGAGCGUGGAACUUUUCUACCAGUUACACAACUUGGUUCCUUCUUCUAGCAUCUGUGAGGAUGUCAUUAGUCAGCAGCUAACCCAUAGAGACAAGAAAAUAAGGAUGGAAGCACAUGCAAAGUUUGCAGUACUUUGGCAUCUAACCAGGGACUUGCAUAUAAAUAAAUCAUCAUCUUUUGCACGCUCUUUUGACAGGUCUUUGUUUAUCAUGUUAGACAGCCUUAACAGCUUGGACGGUUCUACCUGUUCUGUGGGGCAAGCCUGGCUGAAUCAAGUGCUGCAGAGGCAUGAUAUUGCAAGAGUCCUGGAACCGCUGCUGUUGCUGCUGCUGCAUCCAAAAACGCAGCGGGUUUCUGUGCAGCGGGUUCAAGCCGAGCGUUAUUGGAAUAAAUCUCCUUGUUAUCCCGAGGAAGAAAAUGACAAGCACUUCGUGCCAAACUUUGCCUGUCCUGAUGCCUUUUCCCACAUGCCAGCCGGCCAAGGACAACUUAUCGCCCCGCAAGGGACCAGUGAAAAGCAGUUGGUCAUGGAUGAAAUGGAGAACUUCAGUCUCACCGUCAACCCGUUAAGCGACAGACUGUCCCUGUUGAGUACCAGCAGCGAGACGAUCCCAAUGGGCGUGGCGGAUUUCGACCUCCCGGACCAGCAGAUAGAAAUCCUUCAGAGCUCUGACUCGGGGUGCUCCCAGACCUCAGGCGGCGACAACCUCAGCCUCGAGGCGGACCCAGAGAAUGCCGAUCCGGACGAUCGCCCCCGGUCGCCCAAGGAAGACUCCCCAGAUGAAAUCAUCCAGCAAGUGGUGAGCGACCUCAUCUGCCGAGUCGUCAGCGGCCUGGAAAAGGAACCCGAGCCAGUUACCCAGCCAGGCCCAUCGGAUGCCCCCUCCUCAAAAUUCAAUGCUUUAGAUCCCGCCGAGGAGGUCGCUCCAAGCGAGGAUCGAACCACGGGGAGCAGCCAGAGCAGUCUGCUCGGCCAGGGGUGCUCUCAGUUCUUAUCCGUCUCCGCCGAGGCCGGGCUCGAGGGCCCGACGAGCGGAAUCUCCCGAAACAGUUCCUCCCCCUGUAUCUCAGCGCCCCAGCCCCCGGUCCGGGACCCCGGCACUCGGUCAGUCGAAACGAAGGCCCGGCAACGGAGCCACAGCAGCAUCCAGUUCGGCUGCCGGGAAAAGCCAGCCGAGAAGGUCCCGGAGAAGCAGACGAUCGUCAAAGAGUCAGGGAAGCAGCCGGGGGCCAAGCCCAAAGUCAAACUCGCCCGGAAGAAAGACGAAGACAAGAAGAAAGGGCCAAACGAAAAGCCCAAGCCCACCAACGUCUUCUUUAGCGACGGCCUGGAUUUAGAGAACUGGUACAGCUGCGGCGAGGGGGAAAUCUCAGAGAUAGAGAGCGACGUGGGGUCCCCGGGGACGCGGAAGUCGCCCCACUUUAACAUCCAUCCCCUGUAUCAGCACGUGCUGCUGUACCUCCAGUUAUACGAUUCCUCGAGGACGCUGUACGCUUUCUCUGCCGUGAAGGCCAUCCUGAAAACGAAUCCGAUCGCUUUCGUCAACGCCAUCUCCACCACUAGCGUCAACAACGCGUACACGCCUCAACUCUCUCUGCUUCAGAACCUCUUGGCCAGGCACCGGAUUUCGGUCAUGGGCAAGGACUUCUACAGUCACAUCCCGGUGGACUCGAACCAUAAUUUCCGGAGCUCCAUGUAUAUAGAAAUCCUCAUCUCUCUCUGUCUGUAUUACAUGCGCAGCCACUACCCGACGCACGUCAAAGUGACGCCCCAGGACCUGAUCGGCAACCGCAACAUGCAGAUGAUGAGCAUCGAAAUCCUGAGCCUCCUCUUUUCGGAACUGGCCAAGGUCAUCGAGAGCUCCGCCAAGGGCUUCCCGAGCUUCAUUUCCGACAUGCUGUCCAAAUGCAAGGUGCAGAAGGUGAUCCUCCACUGCCUGCUGUCGUCUAUCUUCAGCUCCCAGAAAUGGCACAGUGAGAAGAUGGCGGGGAAGAACCUCGUGGCUCUCGAGGAAGGCUUCUCGGAGGACAGCCUCAUCAACUUCUCAGAGGACGAGUUCGACAACGGCAGCACGCUUCAGUCCCAGCUCUUGAAGGUCCUUCAGAGGCUGAUUGUCCUGGAGCAUCGGGUCAUGACGGGACCCGAGGAGAACGAACCCGGCUUUGAAUUCGUGAUCACCGACCUCGAGCACAUCAAUCCGCAGCAACCGAUGACUUCCCUCCAGUACUUACACGCCCAGCCCAUCACUUGUCAGGGCAUGUUUCUCUGCGCGGUGAUAAGAGCUCUGCAUCAGCACUGUGCCUGUAAAAUGCAUCCGCAGUGGAUUGGCUUGAUCACCUCCACUCUGCCUUACAUGGGGAAAGUUCUGCAGAGAGUGGUGGUCUCUGUGACCCUUCAGCUCUGCAGGAAUCUGGAUAAUUUAAUCCAGCAGUAUAAAUACGAAACGGGAUUGUCCGACAACAGACCUCUUUGGAUGGCAUCAAUUAUUCCUCCAGAUAUGAUGCUGACUCUCCUGGAAGGCAUCACAACCAUUAUCCAUUACUGUCUGUUGGAUCCAGCCACGCAGUACCAUCAGCUUUUGGUCAACGUAGACCAAAAACACUUGUUCGAAGCUCGCAGUGGGAUCCUGUCCAUCCUUCAUCUGAUCAUGUCCUCUGUGACCUUGCUUUGGAGCAUCCUGCACCAGGCAGAUUCUUCGGAGAAAGCCACGGUUGCCGCAGCCGCGUCCGUUACCACUGUGAACCUUGGAUCCACGAAGAACCUGAGGCAGCAGAUCCUUGAGUUGUUGGGCCCGAUCUCGAUGAAUCACGGUGUGCACUUCAUGGCCGCGGUUGCUUUUGUUUGGAACGAACGGAGGCCUAGCAAAACGGCUAAUCGGACAAAGGUCAUCCCAACAGCCAGCGAAGAACAGCUUUUGCUAGUAGAACUGGUUCGCUCCAUCAGUGUCAUGAGAACUGAGACGGUCAUCCAGACGGUGAAAGAAGUUUUAAAGCAACCGCCAGCCAUAGCCAAAGACAAGAAGCAUCUUUCAUUGGAAGUCUGCAUGCUUCAGUUUUUCUUUGCAUAUAUUCAAAGGAUUCCUGUACCUAACUUGAUGGACAGCUGGGCAUCCUUGCUGGUUCUUCUCAAAGACUCCAUCCAACUGAAUCUCCCAGCACCCGGACAGUUUCUCCUACUUGGGGUUUUGAAUGAGUUUAUUAUGAAAAACCCCAGUCUGGAAAAUAAAAAAGAUCAAAGGGACCUUCAGGAUGUUACUCAUAAAAUAGUGGAUGCCAUCGGUGGAAUUGCUGGAUCUUCUUUGGAGCAGACUACUUGGUUACGGCGAAAUCUAGAAGUUAAGCCUUCCCCCAAAAUCAUGGUUGAUGGAACCAGUCUGGAAUCUGAUGUUGAAGACAUGUUGUCUCCUGCUAUGGAAACUUCAAACAUCACUCCUUCAGUCUAUAGCGUGCACGCUUUAACACUACUGUCUGAGGUUUUGGCUCAUCUUUUGGAUAUGGUGUUCUACAGUGAUGAAAAGGAGAGGGUUAUUCCGUUACUUGUAAAUAUUAUGCAUUAUGUUGUCCCCUACCUCCGAAAUCACAGUGCUCACAACGGCCCCAGUUAUCGAGCUUGUGCCCAGCUCCUGGGCAGCCUCAGCGGCUAUCAGUAUACAAGAAGAGCAUGGAAAAAGGAAGCCUUUGACCUCUUUAUGGAUUCCAGUUUCUUCCAGAUGGAUGCCUCUUGUGUCAACCACUGGCGAGCGAUUAUGGACAACCUGAUGACCCAUGACAAAACAACUUUUAGGGAUUUGAUGACACGAGUAGCCGUAGCUCAGAGCAGUUCUCUCAACCUGUUUGCUAACCGGGACGUGGAGCUGGAACAGAGAGCAAUGCUCCUUAAAAGACUUGCAUUUGCUAUUUUCAGCAGUGAAAUUGACCAGUAUCAGAAAUACCUGCCGGACAUACAAGAACGACUGGUAGAGAGCCUCCGUCUGCCCCAGGUGCCUACCCUGCACUCUCAGGUGUUCCUGUUUUUCAGAGUGUUGCUUUUAAGGAUGUCUCCUCAGCACCUCACCUCUCUUUGGCCAACUAUGAUCACCGAGCUUGUGCAAGUGUUUUUAUUAAUGGAACAGGAGCUCACGGCUGAUGAGGACAUUUCAAGGACUGCAGGCCCCUCUGUGGCUGGGUUGGAGACCACAUACACAGGGGGUAAUGGCUUCUCUACUUCCUAUAACAGCCAGCGGUGGUUGAACCUGUACCUCUCGGCCUGCAAGUUUCUGGAUUUGGCUCUGGCGCUGCCCUCAGAAAACCUUCCCCAGUUUCAAAUGUACCGCUGGGCCUUUAUUCCCGAAGCAUCCGAUGAUUCAGGGUUAGAAGUACGAAGGCAAGGUACACAUCAGCGGGAAUUUAAACCUUAUGUGGUACGACUGGCAAAAUUGCUGCGGAAAAGGACAAAGAAAACACCCGAGGAAGAAAGUGCGGGGAAGGCCCUGGGCUGGGAGCCGGGCCACCUGCUGCUCACGAUCUACACCGUACGCUCCAUCGAACAGCUCCUGCCCUUCUUCAACGCGCUCAGCCAGGUCUUCAACAGCAAAGUCACGAGCCGGUGCCUGGGACACUCAGGGAGCCCCGCCCUCUACCCCAGCGCCUUCCCCGCCAAGGACAUUAAGCCGGAAAACCAGAAAAUGUUCUCCAGCAAAGCCAGGCAAAAAAUCGAAGAGACCGUGGAGAAGGAUUUUCUGGAAGGGGUGAUCAAAACAGUCUUUCCCUCAGGCGGACGCAGCCUUGCCUCCGAGCCAGGAUUAGGAUUAGCUGCCGCCGGCCCCCCUGAGGAGACGCUUCCCCACCUCACCAGGACCCACCCUAGGCUACAGCCCCACUUCCCCUCCAGCUCCUCAACGAUCGGCGACCAGGACUGGGAGCGGCAGAGCUCCAGGUUUUUGAUUCUUGAGGAAAAGGUUCUCUCAGCAGGACUGUUGCCAUCUGUACAGAUCUUUCCAGGACAACCAAUGCAGCUGAGGAGAUGUGUGCACCAGACUGAACUACCUGCAGGGUUGCAGAACCCAAGCAGAAAUACAAGCUCAAAGCAGCCACGGGGGAGAAGGGUCAGGUUGAACAAUCACUGGGAAGGAACCCGAGCAGUUAAAGAAGAAGGAUCUUGUUAGAAAACUCCAGUUGUGGUGCCUUGUAACCAUUCAGAUUGUCACAGCUUUCCAAGUCAUCUGGUCGGCGGCUGUGUGGACGCUUCCUUCAGCCGACGGGCCCGGGCAUCUCUCCUACUCCUCCGGCCCCACGGAAGACGGCCAGGCUCACAGCCUGCGCCAGAGCGUCUGCAUUCUCCUGGCAACGACAAGGCCCCCCAAAAAGUGCAGUGACAGGGAAAGGGCACUAAGAUUCCUGCUUAGGAGGAGCUCAGCUGAGCCCGGAGCAACCGCCCAGCAUUAAGAGACUCGACACCACAACCUGGAGAAAACAGCGGCUCUUGGGCAAACAGAAAGUGAGCAACUCCUGCUGCUCCCUGGUGCCAGGUAGGGGAGGCAUCCCAACCUGGGUGUCGGCUUCGGCGUAGACGCGGACCACAUCCUCCGUCCCCGAGGGCCUCACGAACGCCCGCGCCUGCCUGUACUUCUUCACCAGCUCAUCGAUCGCCUCUUGCAGUCCCGGGGGCGAAACCGCCCGUCUCUCGGCAUCCGUCGUGUCAAUCACCCGCCUGUCCGCGACCUAGAAGGGGUGCUCUUAAGUUUGGGGCUGGAGUAUCCUGUUCUGAAUACCUGACUAUUCAGAAGUCGAAGGAACUGAGAAUUCUACCAUGGCCAGGAUCGAUUCUAAAGAGGUGGCCCGCUCGAAUAGGAACUUACCGUGCCGUGACCGUUCGCUUCAAAGUAGACUCCAAUGUCAAACUCCUGGGCUUUGUGGUGCAAGUGCUUUACUCCUGUUUUGGUACAGUGUACAGGCACCUAGGAUGCAGAACACAGAUUUUAACCAAAAUUUACACAAAGUCUAAGACUCCAGCUUCCCUGGCCCUUGCCCUCCGGAUUGUUUCUGAAGGGAGAAAGCAGUGAGCAUGUGUGAACAGUUAUAGGAGGCUGAAUGUCAUCCAGGUGGACUCGGUUCAGGACAGCAUACUGUGAGGUGACAUUGUGGGGGACGGGGGGCAUCCCUCCACCCUCCCUCACUGAACUCCAACCUGCUAAAAGGCAGCCAGGCAGGAAUUGGAAAGGAGUGGGACACAAGCAGAGGCUGGCUGUGUCAGUGAGAAUGCAGCAAUCCUCCCUGGCCUGUGGCACACCAGUUUCGUUCACUUUCUCUUCCUUCUCCCAGUGAAAAGGAAAGGAACUGUCAUCCAGCUAUCCAGAACCCUUAGCAGCCACCUCGCUCCAGCCGCGGCAUCUCUGCCCUCAAAGUCGAAGCAGAACUUCCAACCCAGCCUCACCUGAGGCCAAGAGGCCAUUCCUUUGUGAAAAUGCUAUUGUAACUAAUAGUCUCACUGACCCGACUUGCCUUUUACAAGAGAGUGAAAAUAAAAGUUACCUUCAUGACUUCUUCAA